AAUUGCGUGCAAUGCUCAAGUUGGAAAAGUGGGCAGAAAUAGAAAUUUCGGGUGGAAGUGAAGUGAAGGUAUUUCCUUGCCUCCAACAUUUGGAAAUUAGGUGGUGUGAGCGAUUGAUGAAUGUUCCAAGUUUGGGGCAGUUGCCCAAUCUCAAGUCCCUUGAGUUAAAAGGAUUGGGAAAUUUGAAGUGUAUAAAUUCUUCAUUCUACGGAAUGGUGAACAAGGACACACGCAUUGUUUUUCCAGCUCUCGAGACCUUCGAAUUGUCAUUCAUGGAUAAGCUGGCAGAGUGGGCAGAAAUAGAAAUUUCGGAUGGAAGUGAAGUGAAGCUAUUUCCUCGCCUAAAAAAUUUGGCAAUUGAUAACUGCUUGCAAUUGAUGAGUGUUCCAAGUCAUGUCUCGUCAUGCCUUGAAUAUUUGUUAAUUCAUAGGAUCGGUGUGGAAUGUCUGCCAGCUGAUUGGUUAUUGAGUAACAGCGAGACUCUCUCUCUGUUGGUAAUAGACGACUGCCCGAAUUUGAGAGAAAUAUCAGAUAGGUGGGGAGAAGAAGAAUCAGAAGGAAGAAGCUUCACAAUCACAUCCCUCCCUAUAUUCCCUCGUCUAACAGCUUUGAGAAUUGAAGACGUUCCUAAGUUAAGUUUGGAGACUGUGGAUGAAAUGCGGCGCCUCCAAAUUCAUGGAUACAAAGAAAUUGACCAUGACGGUAAAGGUGAGUAUCAAAUAUCUUUUAUAGAAACAGUUGCAUGUGUAUUUCAUUUGAAAAAAUUCGAAUUAUCAAAAAUUGAAGUAGCCUAGUAAAAUCUACUAUUAUCUUAUUCUAUGGAGUUUCUAAUUCAAUUGCUAUUAGUUUGGGGAUCGAGAUUUAGCGCACCACAUGUGUCACUUUCAAUUUUAUUUAUAUUUUUAUAUAUUUUCUCUAAUUUCAACUUUGAAUGCUUUAGUUUAAUUUUGUGAUUAUUAAUUAGAGUUCAUUCCAUCUAAUUACGGUAUAUAAUUAUUUUUUAUCAUUUAAUUUCACUUUUAUUUGUUAAUAAUAGGGUAUAUAUUUUUAUAAAAAAAAUACUUUUUUUGAAAUAAUAAUUAAGAAUAAUUCAUAGUAUUACAAUUUAUUUUUAUAAAAAAUAUUAUUAAAAUAUAUAAGAAUGAAAUAUAGUGACAUACAUAAAAUUGUGGGGCUUAGUUUGGUGUUCCACUUCAUCUCAAUCUAUACUAAUAGAAAAAGAGCCUAAGGCAGUCUAAGACACAACUUGUGGAUUGCCUAUUUUAUCCAUGUUAUAUAUUUAUUAUUAUAUAUAUAUAAAAUAUAAAUCUAUUUUGACAUACAUUUAUAAAUCACCCAAAUCUAUGAAGAAUACUUUAUAUCUAUAGCUAUUGAUAAGGCUUAUAAAUAAAUAUAUCCAUCCAAUAAAUUAUCUAUAAAAGUAAUGAAUUAUAGAUUUUUUCAUAUGUGUUUUGACCUCCCAAAGUCCCGGAAGAAGGGGUACAAUUAAGUCCCCCCUUGUAUGUUACACCUGCCUUAGGAGUUUUUUUUUUAUUUUUUUUUUUUUUUUUUAAGGGCUUCGUUAAUUCACCUUUUUUCCGGGACUUUUGGGAGGUCAACGCGCUUUGACCGACUUUGGGGGGAAAAGUCUAGGGGGGUGUACUACAGGGGGGAAUCUGCACCUUUGCCCUUAUAUAUAUAAAAUAUAAAUCUAUUUUGAUAUACAUUUAUUUGUCGCCCAAAUCUAUGAAGAAUACUUUAUAUCUAUAGCUUCUGAUAAGGCUUAUACAUAAAUAUAUCUAUCUAAUAAAUUAUCUAAUAAAAAUCGAUAUGAAUAUUCUUUGUUUAACUUUAGUUGAUAGGAUUAUUAUGUCGAGGGUUGAAGAAGAUGCAUGUUUGGAUACCAAUUUGUUUCACAAUCGAUAUGAUUCUCAAAGACUCAAACUUCAUUGAUCAUUAUAAGGAAUUAUUUUGAGUAGAUCACUUCUAAACUAAGGAUUCACAACACUAUUUAUGCCCAUAGACACAAAAGUGGUAUUACUUUUCUUGGCUAAUGUGAAUCUUGUACCUCAUUUCUUGUCUACUUUUCAGGUGGAUUUGGAGGGGCAUUUUGAGUAACUGUCAAGCUCUUAUUGAGCCAUUUUGAGCUUUGUUAUAGAUUUUCUAAUAGAAUCAAAUAAGCUUCAAAAUGACAUGAGGAUAUAUAAAUGUCAAUCUCUCAGGCAUGUGUCUAUUGUUCUGUUUUUAUGAUCUUUUCUUCAGAAAGCUAUUAAUUUGAUUUCAUAAUAUCCAACACUCCAGAGUCCAGCCUUAUUGCAUGUUGUUUAUUGUUAGUUACAUCCCAUCAAAGUUGAACUAUCUGUUAUUGUUUUAACUCCAAACAUUAAUCCUUGAUUGCAGUGAGUAUGAUUCUAAAGCCAUGGCAGAGAUAGGGGAGCUUCUGAGGAGCAUGGAGACAAGGCGGAAGAAUAAGAAUGAUGACAGUGUAGUUGUUGAGUCUGAAGAGAAGGAUGAUGACAAAAAUUCAGACAACAAUGUUGAAGAUGAAGAUAGUGAAACAGAGGAUUCAGCAGCUGUGGAAGUUGAACCCAAUCCCAGCAACACCAAUGAAAGAAUGUUGAGCAUAUCAUAUAACACAGCAAAGUUUCAAUUUGCAUCACCAUUUGAAUCUUGCAAGUAAGUUCUAACUGGCAGGACAGGAUAUUUGGUUUUACUUUAUCAAUUGCAUGUUUUUCCUUGUUUUUAUAAACAGAUGAAAGUAGUAACAAGACUUCAUUUUGCAUAGACGAAAGUAGUAAUGAAACUACAAUUUGAAUUUUCUGGGCAGAGCACUUUUUCUUUCUUGCUUUUCUUUUCCUUUAUUUUGGUGUGUUUCUAGUUCUAUUUUAAUUUGAGCUUUUAAUACAGCCUUGAGAAUGCUUUAAAGGGAAGUUUGAUUUAGUGGAUAAGAUAGAUAAGAAUGGUAUGAGUAGAGGAUGUUUAAAUAAUCCAUCCAACUUCGUGGCGAUAAAUAAGCAGAGAGCAUCAUAUCAAUUAAUGCAUCAUAUCAUAUCAUAUCGUAUAACAUUAAAACAAAGUUUCAAUUUGCAUCACAAUUAGAAUCUUACAAGUUCUAGCAUUAUUAAGCAUAACUUUUAUAUCCUUGUUUUCUUUUUUCUAUCAUCUUUUUCUCUUUUUCUUUUAGGGGCGCGAUUCUCUUUGAUGGAAAAGAGUGGAAAACAUAUAUUUUCACCAUUUUCCCCCACUUUUUACAAGUUUUAUAGGGUAGAAAUAUAUAUUUUCACAUGUUUCACAUCUUUUUCUCCUUUUGCAUUAAUUAAAAAGAGUGUGUGGCUUUUGUAUUUUAAAGUGUGUGGGUUUUUCUUUAUUUUUAUAUUUUAUAUUAAUAGCUAAGGUUUAACUUCAUUAUUUUAAAGUGGUUAUUUUCUUAUUUUAUUACUUCACUUUUUAUUAUUAAGUUAUGUAAAAAUUAAAAUCGCGAAAUCAUCAUUCUUCUCUAAUUUCAGUAACAUUCUUUUAUUGUGCUACUAUAGUUCAACAAAACUCGUUAAUUCACACAUUUCCACAACGAGGAGAUGCAUCUUUUAUUGCCACAAAAUUUCACUACACCCAGAUUUAUGCAUAUCUCUGCGAUGGGCUAAAAAGAGUGGAUUCUUCCCUCCCAAACUUCAAGCUCUUAGCUUCGUCUCUCGAAAUGCCGAAGGCGUUCAUCAGAACCUCGUUCGGCAUUGCUCGGAUGGCCGAGAGCCGGCCAGCGAGCUGCGCGUUCAUGGCGUUGUCGUUGGUCUUGAACGCGAUCCACUCGAAUCCUUCCUGGCUAGCCUUCUUCACGACUACGAAGUUUUGUGGUACGAUCAAUAGCUGCCCCUCUCUCACUUCUCCGUCGAAGACCGACCUUCCUUGGGUUCCGACCACUUGAACUCGGGCACUUCCUCGGGUCACGUACAUGGCGGAGUGGGCGUUCGUGCACCAUUGAGGGGCGACGACGGCGUUCUUGUAGAGGAUCCCUCGUUGCGCGCUGAGCUGGACGUAGUUGAGGAUGGGGAGGGACUGGCUGUUGACGUUGCUGAUGCGGCCGCCGCGUGGGUUGUAGAGAUCGGCGCUCGUCGGGUGGUCCAAGUUCCUCUUGAUUUUGUAUGAGCAGAAGGUUUCUUCUAACCUGAGGUACCCAAAGUCUCUCUUUAAUCAGAUGUACAUGGCUAUAGUUUUUAAUUACUCUUUUGGAGCUUAAAACAUUUUUAGCUCAUUAUCUUAGGACGAUUUGUAAAUUUUUUUUUUUUUAGAAUUUAUAGAAUUUGAUCAUUUUAUUUUAGAUUUGGGUGUCUAGGGGUCACAUUUGGGCCUAAUUCGAUAUCCGUGAGCCAUAUUAAAAGCAAAAUAGCCUGAUAUGUCCCAAAUAUGGCCCACGGACAUUGAAUUGUGAAAUAAAAUGGUCCCCAAUUCUACCUGUCCAAAAAAAUUGACUUAUUUUUGCAAACUGUCCUAAGAUAAUAUAACCUUUUGUUCAUGUAUCUCUUACCCGUUAUAGUAGCCUCGUCGUUGGUCUUGACGCUCCUCGUCCUCGCUUUCCCACUCCGGGAGCACCAUCCUCAACUUCUCGGCAUGGACGAUGAUGCCUCGCUCGUCCUCCCGGCCUUGCAGCUUCCUCAUUAGCUCGGGAUCGGCAUUGAAUGCUUCCGCUAGAAGCUCCUCGUCGAAGCCAUAGAAUACGUUUCGUGUUUCUUGCGCUUCCUUUUCGCCUCUCCUCCUCAUGUAUCUUCCCUCUCCCUGCGGCCUAUCGAUGGAUUCUGGGUUUCCGGCAAGGAGGAAUUUCUGCAACAAAAUAUCAUACAUAUAUAUCAUUUUCAAAUAAGAAAAGACCACAAUUUUUAAGUACGUACCAAUAUAAUAAUAAGACCAUAAUUUUUAGUGACGGAGGAAAUAUUUUUUUAUUUAUAAUUGUAAAAUGAAUAUUCCAUUUGUUCCCCUUUAAUUAGUUCAUUGCUGUUGGAAAUUGGGAAUCUUACUCUGAAUUUGAAAUCAAGCUGGUUGUUGUCAUUGCCAAUGUCCAUCAUCGACACGUAGGUCAAUGGGGCGUCUCCGUCGUUGUAAACGAAGGUCGUGAUACCCUCCGGCAAGGCGAUGACGUCGCCGCGGCGGAACCGCCUGAGUUUCUGGUGGCGGUCGCCCCUCCGGCCUUCUUCUCCGGAGUAGCGCGAGCUCGAUCCCGACUCCUCCGAUUCAUAAGUCUCCGCACAUCCCGGAAUCACAGUCCCCAAAAUUCCGCUACCUGCAAAUUUCAAUGCAUAAUAUAAAUGAUCAGAAACUACUAAUCAAAAUCGGAAUUUCAAGAAGAAUAGUAGUGUAAAUGUAAAAAAUUACAAAAAAUUACAAAUAUAAUUUAUACUUAAAAAAAUAUUUUUAAAGUAUAUAGUCAGAACUUUGAUUCUCAGGAGUAAUUUUUUAGCCUAAUUUUAAAAAAUUACAAAUAUAAUUUAUACUUAUCUACGUUGUUCACACUCUUAAUACAUGAAAAUGGGGAUUAUAGCUUCCAUCACGAUCCGAAAUAGGAGUGUAAAUGUAAAAAAUGAAAGCUAUAUAUAGUCCUUAUUUUCAAAUUCCAUAACAUAUAGUCCUCUUUUUAANAAAACACUAAAAAUUACGGUCAUGUUUUAACAAUUAACUCAUUACAUGUGUGUCCACAUUCAAAUCUAAGACUUGAGACCUUUAGUCUUAGACAUAAAUCACACUACCACUAAACCAAUACACACAAAUAUUUUCUGCUUAGAAGAAACAUGUAUCUAAUUUUUCAAAUUCAAGCUAAAAAAUUAUAGGAUAAAAAAUUAAGGUUAAUUUAAGAUUAUGCCUUAAAAAAUCAAUAUCAAGAUUAAAAAAAAAAAAAUCACCUUCGACGAUGAAGGUGAGCCUGGGGGCGUUGGUGUAGAAGGGAAGCACGAGGCCCUUGGGCUGCACUUGGUGGCGGACGAACUCGAUGCCGGCGCACUCGAACUCGUCGUUGGAGGCGUCCCAGUACUCGCUGACGCCGGCCUCCGACUGGAAGCGGAAGGUGGGCUCGCGGGCGGAGAGCUGCUGGAUUUGGCAUUGGGUCUUGGCGCGGAAGCGGUGCUGCUGCUGCGACUGCAUGCGCUGCCAGAACUGCUGCUGCUGCUGAGCAAGGCAGCCAUGGAAGAGGAAGAGGAGGCUCACGCAGAGAGAGAGGGAGAUAGCUAUGUUAGCCAUGGCUGCGAGAGAGAGAGAGAGAGGUGUGUUUGUGUGUUGAUGGAAGUGAGAAGAGAGGGGGAUUUAUAUACAAGUGGGGAGGGGAGGUGAGGCUCGACACGUGUGAAUGCGUGUGCUUGUUUUUUAUGCAUGCAUGGUUGAUGACUAUAUUUCCCAUUUUCGCUAUGUGGCAUUCAUGCAUGCAUGAUUUACAGAUUUUUUUUUUAUUUUCUUUGAUUUUUGAUGGUAUCAUAUAAUUUAUACAUAUAUAUACUGAGUUCGAGGGUUUUUUAGGGCAGUAAUUUAGGUUGAUUUGGAAAUUAGGACAAAAACUUUUGGACUUGUAAAAAUAGGACACUAAUUUUUUAAUAAAUAUGUUGCACCCGCAGGACAUUUUUCGGCCAAUUAUCGACCGAGCAAUGUCCUAUUUUUAUGACGCUUAUUAAUUAAUGUCCUAUUUUAAUCUAAAAAAAAUUAGUGUCCUAUUUUUACAAGUCUGAAAGUUUUUGUCCUAAUUUCCAAAUCAACAUAGUUACUGUCCUAAAAAAUCAUCUGACUCUAUAUAUCCUCUUGUAGCUAUACUGCGCAGGUGUUUGUUUGCAGGUUAAAAAUAUUUACUUCGAUUACAUGUGUGGAUGAGUUUCAAUGGAGGUGUCAAAGCGUUAAAAUCUAAUGUUUGCACUUUAUAUAUAUAUAGGGACAUAGGGAGUGUUAUUAUAGAAAUUAAAUUUAUUGUAUAAAAGAAGUCUACUAUGAAUUCGUUGAAAAAUUAAUGAAUUGAGAAAAUGUGAAAUUUUUGCCAUGUAUGAGAUUUCGAAUCCCGCACGACUAAAUCACAAAUUCAUUUAGUAAAGUGAUGAAUUCAAAAUACAUAUUCACAGUCUAAAGAUUGAAAAUGAUUUUUAUUUUAUAUAAUAUAUAACUUGACCUUUUUUAAACCAUUCUCUUGUAUAUAAGAUUACACUUUCAAGUGUUUUCCUUAAGCUAAUAAUAAAUUCUUUCCAUUUCCUAAUGGUAUAGCAACAACAACAAUAAUAAUAAAUUCAUCGUUGCAAAUUUAUUUCACUGUGAUAUCAUUUGAUUUCUACAGACGGACCCAUUGUUUUGGCGAAUGAAAUCCUCUAUCCCAAAUUUUAUGUCUCAUUGUUCGUAUUUCACUAUUAAUUUAACUAUUGUAGUAUUAAUCAUUCAUAUAAACUAAAAAAUUACUAUUGUAUUAUGAUCAACUCUAAUUAACAUUUAUUAAAAAAAUAAAAUUUAAAAAAAUUAAUAUACUCUGAUUUUGGAAUAAUCAAGCUAAAUAACCAUUUUUUAAGAUAUAAUUAAAAAGGCAAAUUAAAUAUAUAAAAAAUAAUUAUAAACUUUAAUUGAAUGAGUAAAACCUAGAUAAUAAUUAUAAAAUCAAACUAAAUCAAAACAUAUUAAAAUUGACGAAGAAAGUAAAAAAUAAUUAAAAAAAUCUAUAAUGAAACACCAAAGUUGGGAAAAAAAAUAUAUCCCAAGUGCUAUAUCGAACCUCCUAAAUAAUUCAUUAUUAUUAAGGAGGCGUUUUGAAGGAUUAGUCUUGAUAGAUAAAAAUAGUAAAUUUAAUCCCUUGUUUAUUUUGAUGAAUUGAAACUUAAUUUGGCAUAUCUCAAGGCCCUUAAUUAUUUCUAUCAUUACGUUACUUUUGCGUUAUUGUUAUCCCAUUGAAAGAGUGAUCGGAUUGGAAAAAUCUUAUUCUUAAAAAUAAAAAUAUUGAAUCGUACAUCUUAUAUAUCUAUCAUGCAAACUAAACGCCUCCUAAUUAAAUAAGGGUUAAGUAUCAAUUUAGCCCCUAACGUAGAGGCCCCUGUAGCCAAUACAACCCUAUGCACAGGGGUGUCUCAACUAAACCCCUAAGGUCCAUGUUUUGCGUCAAGUAGACCCCUCCGUCUAACGGAGAGUUAACACCGUUAACUAUUGUUAUUCUUUUUAUUUUUUAUUUUGUUGGUGGUGGGACCCACGCCUUCUUCACCACCUAACUCGCCGGAAACACGCCGGAAACCUAAUCCUAUCCUUGUCAGCCCACUUCUCCUUCCCCAUCGAACGUCACCAGUGGCCUUUAGCACCACGACUCACGAACUAAGUCCGCCCGAAACUUCAGCCUGUGCCCGAACUUCGAAUCAGAACCAUUGUAAAUCCCCAAAAGGCGAGGGCAGCAGACCAAUACAAAGUUGAGAAGUCCAACCCCCAGAUGAGGCCGGCUCUAGCCAUUUGGAUUUUGAUCGGAUGCCUUGCCCAACCCUCACAACCGCCGGUAAGAAGAAGAAAUUGUAGAAGCCCUUAUUUCAAAUGCAACCCCAAUGGACCUNNNNNNNNNNNNNNNNNNNNNNNNNNNNNNNNNNNNNNNNNNNNNNNNNNNNNNNNNNNNNNNNNNNNNNNNNNNNNNNNNNNNNNNNNNNNNNNNNNNNNNNNNNNNNNNNNNNNNNNNNNNNNNNNNNNNNNNNNNNNNNNNNNNNNNNNNNNNNNNNNNNNNNNNNNNNNNNNAUUCAUUAUUUAUUAAGGAGGCGUUUUGAAGGAUUAAUCUUGAUAGAUAAAAAUAGUAAAUUUAAUCCCUUGUUUAUUUUGAUGAAUUGAAACUUAAUUUGGCAUAUCUCAAGGCCCUUAAUUAUUUCUAUCAUUACGUUACUUUUGCGUUAUUGUUAUCCCAUUGAAAGAGUGAUCGGAUUAGGAAAAAUCUUAUUCUUAAAAAUAAAAAUAUUGAAUCGUACAUCUUAUAUAUCUAUCAUGCAAACUAAACGCCUCCUAAUUAAAUAAUCCCAAACAAUAAUUUACUUUUCAUUUUCGGAUUAGCUUAAGUGAGUUGUGUAGAAGAAUCCAAAAAAGGAAUUAAAAGACUACAAACCCAAUUUUAUUCACUCAAACGAAACCACAUUCCAUCAUAUUACACAUCGAAGCCCUCAUUAUUCCAAAAACCCUACAUUAAUUUUGGUGGAAUAUCUACUUUUUACGUUUGUUUACAUCAUAGACUUGAUCACAUCCAAGGCAUACUCAAUCGGCCAUGGACGGCUAGGAUAUCUCGAUGAACGCCUGCUAGUCGAGCUCAUGAUCCUCGACUCCUCUCUUUUAAACUUCAAAUUCCUAGCAUCCUCCCUCGAGAUGUCAUAGGCGCUCAUGAGCACCUCCUCCGGCAUCGCCCGGAGGGCCGACAGCCGGCCGGCCAGCGGGGUGACGAUGGCGUUGUCGUUGGUCUUGAAGGAGAUCCACUCGAGGCCCUCCUCAUCGUUCGCCUUCUUUAUCACCGCGAAGUUUUGUGGGACUAUGAUCAUCUGCCCCUCCCUCACCUCGCCGUCGAACACGGCCUUCCCGGCCUGGCCCACCACCUGGAAUCGGCCGCUCCCUCGCGUGAUGUAGAUCACUGAGUGAGCGUUCGCGUUCCAGGUUGGCGCCAUGAUCGCAUUCUGCAUCGAAUGUAUAAAAUAUAUACCGAUGAAUAUCCUAAUUCAUUUUAGAUUUUUCAUACAAUAAUUGGAGCACUUAUUGGGUUUAUUAUGAACAAUUUAAGUAUACAAUUAUUUUAGUAUUUAAUUUCAAUUUUAUUAGUUAAUAAUUAAUUAUUAAGAGAUUGAUAACUUUAUAACUAGUGUACAUGUACAAUUUUUUUAAACUUCAUUUUUUCGGUUAUAAAUGUUGAUUAUAAUUAAUUAUAUUAUGAUAACUUUUAUUUUAAAAUAACAAAUUUGAUAAAAAGACAUAAGUGAAAAACACAUAAAAUAUUGAGACAAUUUCUUCAUGACAUGAAAAUAGCAAAAUAAUGUCUUCGUCCUAACAAAGGUGUUCUAUUUUUUUUAAGUCUUCCGUUGCGCAGGUCUUUAAAUUUCUUUAUUUACUUAUAUAAUUAUUUUUUAAAAAAAUGUUCUAUUUAAAAAUAAAUUGUAUCCAUUACUUGUCCCCUUUCGGAACUCAAUAAUUAAUCAAUAGCAAAUAGAUGUCCCAUUUAAACAUAAAUUUUACUCAUAGAAAAACUUGUUCCAUUUCAUAAUUCAAUAGUAAAAAUUAUUUUUACGUAAAAUAAUACCAAAUAAAUUUCUAUUUAAAAACGAAUUUUUUUCAAGGCGAGAGCUCAAGAAAAUGAAGAAUCAUUAUUAAUCCUCUUAAAAAAAAUGUGGGGAUUCGAACAUUACCCUGUAGAGGACACCUUUCUCAGCGCUAAGGCGGAGCCAGCUGAGGAUGGGGAGCUUCUGGCUGUUGGCGGCGCUGAUGCGGCCGCCGCGGGGGUUGUACACAUCCGCCCGCGCCGGCUCAUCCAAGUUGAGCCUCAACCUGGCACUGCAGAGGGUCUCCUCGAGCCCGUUCGAGGCUUCGAGGUCGUCCCACCACCGGCCCCGCCUGCGGCUCUCCCUCUCCUCCUCCUCGCCCCCGGGGAAGACGAUGUCGAACCUGUCGGCCUGCACGAUUUGCCCUCGGAAGUCGUCUUGGCUCUUCAAUUUCCUCGCCGUCUCUAUGUCCACGUUGAAGAUCUCGGCUAGAAGCUCGUCGUCGAACGGAUUGAAAAUGUUGUCCCUCUCGCUUUGUUCGCUUUCUCCCCUCCGGCGGCUGCGGUAGCUCUCCGAGCCUUGUGCUUCGCCUCGUGGCUCUCCGGCUAGGAAGAAGUUCUGCACGUGGAAAAUAUAUAUUUUCACUCGUUUUUUCAUUUUAGUCGUCUGAAUAAGCUUUCCAAAUUUUAGUGAACUUAUAUUUUCACUCUUUUUUUCAUUUUAGCCGUCUCAAUAAGCUUUCCAAUAGAAAUAACAAUCGAUACAAAAUCGUACAAAUAAUGGAUAUAUUCGAUAAUUGAGUCGAUUUUUGCUACGUUGGAAAAUUUAUUCAAAAUCCUACAACUACAUAUGAUCAAAAUUGAAUUUCCACUUAAUUAAAAUUUUGGACAAUUUUCUAUAAGGUGGGAUAAUUGUUCCCUAUCAUAUAUGAUGUAAAUCUUUUUCGAACAAUUCAUUUUCUCACAUUUUUCACUCUAAUUCUUACUUCCUCCUUUUUUUUAUUUAAGUGUCUAUAGCCGUCAAAAUACACAUACCAAUAAAAUAAGAUAUUUUACAUUUGUAACCUUAGUAAUUAUCAUAAUAAACGUAUAUAUACAACUAAUUAUUAUAUUCAUACAAGUAUUAAAUAAGGAUAAAAUAAGAAAAAUAGUCAUAAAUAUACUCUUUUGAAAUGGGACACUUAUUGAGAGAAAAAAAUGAGCUAAAUGGGACACUUAUAACAUAGAAUAUUAUCAUGAGGUAUUAAUAUAACCUAGUUCUUGAUAAUAAACUUUUCAUAUUCUUUAGAUUUCUUUUUUAUCUUAAAAAUAUGGAAUAAAAAAAUUGUGCGAUAAAUUUUUCCUACUCUUUUUUUACCACUCACAUUAUUAAUUUAUCAUAAUAAAUGAAGAACAAAGCAAAACGCACCCUGAAUGUGUGAUCGAGCUGGUUGAUUUGGUUGCCGGUGUCGAGCAACGCGACGGUCUCGAGCCUCUCGUCGCCGUUGUUGUAAAACCAGAGAGUGAACCCGGCCGGCAAGGCGAUAACGUCGCCUUGCCUGAACUGGCGGACCUUCUGGUGCCGAUCCACGAAGCUCCUGCUCCGGUCAUGGUCUCGCUGCCUCAUCUCGGUCUCGAAGGUCUCGGCGCAGCCGGGAAUCACUACUCCGAGCAGUCCUCUGCCUGCAUUUUUCGACAAUCAAACUAUAAAUAUUUGAACAACUAGCCCAUCAAGAAAAUAUCGAGGAGCACAUAAAGUAUUAGAUUUAAAUAAUAAAUAUUGUAAAAAAAUAUUGAGGCCAUUUUUUCUAGAGCACUGAAAAUUGAGGAGCUAAUUGUUAAAAUAGGACAGUAACUUUUGAUGUUUUUCAGAAAGAAGAGUAUAUAUUACGAAUUACUUGAAAAUGAGGCAUAUAUAUUACAGAAUUUGAAAAUUAAGACUAUAUCUUCCGGUUUUUUACAUUUAUAUUCAUAUUUAACACAUCAAAAUAAGGCCUAUAGUUUCUAUCACGUUCCGAAAUAGGAGUCUAGUCUCUAGAUGUGGAAAAAAUGAAAGCUAUAGUCUUCAUUUUCAAAUUCCGUAAUAUAUAGUCCUCAUUUUCAAAUUCAGUAACAUAUAGCUAGUUCUCUUUCUGAAAAAGAUUGAAAAUUACAGUCCUAUUUUAACAAUUAGAUUUAAAAUUGAGACACAACCUAUGAUUAAUCCAAAAUAAUAAAAGAAAAUAAUGUGAAAAUAAUGUGAAAAAAUAGAGGAGCUGAGGCGCAUUGUUGUAGUGGGGCAGGAGAAGGCCUCUGGGCUUGAUGUAGUUCCUGACGGCGGCGACGCCGGCGCACUCGAACUGCUGGUUGUUCCGGCGCAAAUUUCACGCGCGCGCCUGAAAUAAAAAAAAAAAAAAAAGAAGAAAAUAGAAUAAAAGAACAUCAAAAUCACAUUUCAAACCGAAUAGCUCUGUAUGUCUUCAAGUCGGACAAAUGCAAUUCAUAGUGGUCCUAUUUUUUUCGGAAAUGUCUUUUUCAAUUUAGUACAAUUAAUUUGUUUGAUAGUUUUGUCAAUUUAAUAGUCAUUUAUUUAUAACAAUUUACCAUGUAAUGUUUAAUUUUAACUUUAAUAAAAUGUUAAAUAUUAAAAUAGAAAAGUAAAAAUGAGAUUAAAUAAAAAUGAGGAUUAUAACGCCUAUUAUAGCAUCAAUGCACUGGAGAAAGGGAGGCGCCAAGGUGGGGACUAUCUUAUAACGCCUCCCACUUGAGAUGCUCUUAGUUAGAAUUAAGUAAAAUGGAGUUUCUUCUAUUUCAUCUCCAAUAAUCAACUCUACAUUCCACUCAUUAGAAUAAUUUUGUCAUUUAAUUAUUAUAGUAUCACAUAUAUUUAUAAAUAAUUAUAUUUAUGCUCAAGCAUAUUUAAUUAUAAUCUAAUUUAAACAUUUUUGAUAAAAUAGUUAAUCAAGCAUAAUAUUUAAAUAUUGCAUAACGAUUAAUUUAUUCUAACAACAUACUAAAAUAAAUAAUGGCAGUUAUAUUCAGAAACAAAAUACAAAACCUUAAUUACAAUAAAUCAUAAAAUAGAGGGAAGAAAUAAGAGAGAAAAAAUAAAGUCAAGUAACUGAUGAACAAAUUUAUACUUUAUUAUAUUAUUAUUUUAUUUAGAGGGAAAAAAAAAAUACAUCUUGAAGUAUUAUGUGAACCGGGAAAAAGAAGAAUGUUCAAUUUUCUUGUCUUUUAAUUGGAAAUAUUAAAUUGCAUUAUAAAGAGGUAAUGCAUAGAAAUUUCUAUGUAACUGAUUUAUAAAGGUAUCAUAUUUGUAUAUGUUUACCACAUAGUCAAAGUCAUAGUUUAAAAAAAGUGUCGGCAAAGAUUGAAUUAUUAAAAAUGAAAAAAAGAAAACCAUAUCUUAAAUGAAUGAAAGGAAAACCAUAUCAUGAAUGAAUGAAAGGCUAUAAACUGAUCUUGAGCUUGCAUCACUCAUCCAAUUCUGUUCCUUAAUCCUCUCUCUCUCUCUCUCUCACUCAAUUUCGCUCUUUCUCUCUCUAAGUUAUCAGCUAACACAAAGCAAGGAAGCAGCCGACAUUAAAGCGCAGUAGGGAAGGUGAAGAUGAAUUUCGAUUCUGCUUGUUGAUUGCGUGUUCACACAUAAUUUUCAUUAUUUUAUUUAUAGUUUAUACCAUUUACUCACAAUUUACUUAGCAAUAUCCUUCAUGUUCGACUUUUUUUUUAUAUCUCUUUUGCACAGAUUUUCAAGCUAUAUAUAUUUGCUGGUGAGGAUCAAUAAUUUGUGUUUAGUGUUUACAUUUUCAUAUGGCCGUAUAUAUAUGGAUUGAGACAUGCAUGAAUAUUCUUCACACCUUAAAAAUCAAAAUGAUAGUACUUUGUAAACAUAAUUUAUUCCGUAGUAUUAAAAAACAUUCAUCAACUAAUGUUCAAAGUCAAAGUAUUAAAAAACGUGUCGGCGAAGAUUGAAAUAUAAAAAAUGAAAAAGAAAACCAUAUCUUGAAUGAAUUAAAGGCUGUAAACUCUUGAGCUUGCAUCACUCAUCCAAUUCUGCUCCUUAAUCCUCUCUCUCUCUCACUGAAUUUCUCUGUCUCUCUCUCUAAGGAAGCAGCAGCUGCUACCGCCGUCUUUAAGGUGAAGAUGAAUUUCAAUUCUGCUUGUUGAUUGUGUGUAGUGAAAAUUUGAGAUUUUUUUUCUUCUUUUUUUUGGUGUUUCCUUUUGUACUAAUUAUCAUGUUUGGCCAUUCUCUUAUGAGAUUUGAUACUUUGAGUUUUGCUCAUAUAUUUUGAUGAUAGAGUUUUCUUAAUUCUUACAAUAACAAAUUUUUAUUUGGAUUACGCCCUAUGAUAUAUACUCAUUAUGUCCAUGAAAAUUAUAGUGUUUUUUGGGAGCAAUGGGUUUAAUAAAUUAUCACAAUUAAGAUGUGUAUAAAGUGGGGGAAAGAGUCCCAUUAUUAUUAUUAUUAUUAGUCCUAUUAUUAUUAUUAUUAUUAUUAUUUUGAGGAAAUGUCCCAUUAAAAUUGAGUUGUGAAAGAGAUCUACUAUAUUUGAUGGGUUAAGUAAUUGGCUUUUUUUAUAAAUACUAACAGAGAUGACGUGUAUCACGUAAAGAUAAAUUAUUUUAAUAAAUAAUUUUUUAUGAGUAUAAUCAUUUCAUUUUAUAGUACUUCAUCUGUCCUCCCAUAUUUAUGCACCUUUUUUUUAUACAUCUUCGAAAUUUAUGCACCAUAUUUUUUGACACUAUCUAGCUCACACAUAAUUUUCAUAAUUUUAUUUAUAGUUUACACCAUUUACUCACAAUUUACUUAACAAUAUCCUUUAUGUUCAACUUUUUUUUAAUAUCGCUUUUGGCACAGAUUUUCAAGCUAUAAAUAUUUGCUGGUGAGGAUCAGUAAUUUGUGUUUAGUGUUCACAUUUUCAUAUCGCGGUAUAUAUAUGGAUUGAGACAUGCAUGAAUAUUCUUCACACCUUUAAAAUCAAAAUGAUAGUACUUUGUAAACAUAAAUAUAUAACUACUUCUAAAGUUAUAAAUUUAUCUAAUGAGUAUAAGUACAGUUCGGUUAAAAGUCACUUUUUAUAUAUAAAAAUAAAGGUUAUAAGUGAUUUGUGUUUCUAAAUUUUGUUUUCUCUUAAAAAUUCUUUAAAUAUUUAGCAUUUUUCAUAAAAUAUUUAAUUUGCUAUAUGAAAUUUGAUGAUGAAAAGAUGAUUCAUCUCAUAAGAGUCUAACAUGAACUGUUUUUUGGACAUUUUUUUCCAACUUAAACAUCUAAACGAUAUCGUUUUGAUGCUUUAAAAAAAAAACACUCUCAUUUAUCUCUAUUUUUAGAAUUUCAUCAAUGUCAAUUCUAAAUAUGUAAUUAUUUUCCUCCCAAUUCUCGGCUUAUUUGGAGAGGAGGAUUUUUGUUGUGAUAUAGUUUCAAUAUAUCACAAAACUUUUUUUGGACAUUCCGUACGUAUAUUUGAGACAUUUUUUAUUAAAAGGCAAGCAUAAUAAUAAUAAUAACAAACAACAUGUUCAUAUAUUAUAUAUUUUUAGUAUAUUACAAAUUAGUUUCAAUACAUUAUAAUUUUUUUUAGCAUUUCAUACAUAUUAAGCAUUUUUUUAUUAAAAGAUAAGUAUAAUAGUAAUAAUAACAAACAAUAUUUCAUAGAUUAUAUAGUUUUAAAUAACAGAAUUAUCCUUAAAUUAAGUAUAUAUGAGAGAAUAUAAUAACCAAAUACUCUUUUAUAAAACAAAAUUAUUUUAUAAUAGGUAUAAACAUAUAUCUAUAUAUAUUUAUUAAAAAAAAAAACUCAAAAAUUUGGAGGGGGCUAUAGCCCCCCUGGCUCCGUCCCUGCUUCAACUUGCAUCACUCAUCCAUUUCUAUUCCUUAGCUCUCUCUCUCACUCAAUUUCUCUCUUUCUCUCUCUAAGUUAUCGGCACAAAGAAUGGAAGGAGAAGUUGCUGCCGCCGUCCUUCAACCUCUAGUUCAAAACCUCAUCGACCUCUCCAAAAGAGAUCUCUCAGAUCCGAGAUCUCAAAAAAGAUGCCGCAAAGCUAGCCGGGAGUCUCGACAUGAUAAAAAAUUUCUUGAACGAUGCCGAGACGCGUACCAUCACCCAGAAGCUGUCAAGUGCUGGCUGAAGAAGCUUGAAGACGUGGUGUUCGAUGCUGACAAUGUUUUGGAUGAAUUCAACUAUCAUAUUCUCUCCAAACAAAUCAAGGCCGCUGAACCCAAGAAGCUGGCAAAGGUACCAUCAUGCUUCUCAUGCUUCAAGCAUAUUUCACGUUCUCGAAAUAUGGCUCUUAAAAUCAAAGAAAUCAAUGAGAAGUUGGAGUCCAUUAACGAAGAGGUGGUCAAGUUUGGCCUCGUAGAGAAGCUUGCCAAUGAGCCUGCUUUGGUUAUUGCUGCUGUGGAAACUGCUGCAUACACUCUUGAUCCAAUUUUUAUUGGAAGAGAUGAUGCUGCGUCGAAAGUAGUUGAGAUGCUUACCGCAAUAGCAUCACAAUUGGUGAACAACACACAGUGUCCGUCAUUUCCAUUGUAGGGAUGGGGGGAUUGGGGAAGACAACUUUGACUAGGAAAGUCUUGAAUCGUCUGAAGAAUGAUAAUCGGUUUGGGUCAUAUAUUUGGGUGCAUGUUUCUCCAAAUUUUGAUCCAAUAAUUCUUUUCAAGAAAAUUCUCAAAGAGGUUUCCCAAAAUAACAAAGAUAUUCUUUCAAAGUCUGAUGAAGGUGCAGUUGAGAGUAAGCAAGAUAUUCUUUCAAAGCUUAAAAUAGCUUUGGAAGAUAAAACUUAUCUUCUUGUACUCGAUGACGUCUGGAAUGAAGAGCGUUCCAAAUGGGAAGAUUUUAUUAAUUGCUUGUUGGGAGUUAGUGGUGUCGUCAAAGGAAAUGCCAUUGUUGUUACGACCAGAAAUAUGAACGUGGCUUCAAUUGUGAAUCCACUUCAUGUACAUCAGUUGAAAGGCUUAUCGGAUGAGAGUGUUGGUCAAUAAUCGAGUAAAAGUCUUUGGAAAAGAAGAUGUUCCGUCAGAACUUGAGGCCACUGGGAGACAGAUAGCGAAAAGAUGUCAAGGAUUGCCAUUAGCUGCCAACGUAGUUGGGGGAGUGCUGCAUAAUAAACCCAAGGAAAAAUGGUGUUUAAUAGAGGAGAAAUGGCUUUCAGCCAAUGAAGGAGGAGUUGAUAUCACAAACAUAUUAAGAUUGAGCUUUGAUAAUCUGUCUCCGCCAUUACUUAAGAAGUGCUUUGCGUACUGUGCGAUGUUUCCUAAAGGCUCCAAAAUCAUCAAAAGGAAACUGAUUGAGAUGUGGACUGCAGAAGGAUUUCUUCAAGCUGAUGGAAGUGAUGACAUGGGUGAAAAAUUUAUCAAUGUUCUUCUGCACAACUCUUUACUGCAAGUUUCACACAGAGAUCGUUAUGGAAAUGUCUAUGCCUUAGGCAUGCACGAUCUUGUGCACGAUCUCGCUCGUUCUGUUUCAAGUUCCUCUAACAAUUCAGGUGGUAGCAGCCGAGUUCGAUAUAUCAGUCUUGGAGACGACAACUGUGGAGAUAUAUCAAGUCCUAUCGCAAAAGAAAUGGCAAAAUCUUUGCGUUCAUUAUUAAUAUCAUUCAAAGAUGAUAUUUCUGGUAUCAACUUCUCAGACUUGGAAAGUUUGCAUGUUUUAGGUCUUGACUCUGAAGUUAAAGAAUUGUCAAGUUCUAUUCGGAAGUUGAUACACUUGAGAUAUUUUGACAUUUCAAAGACAAGCAUUGUAUAAAUGCCAAGUACGAUUAAGUACUUGAUUAACUUGAGGCAUCUUUAUAUUAACGGGUGGCAAAAGUUGCCUAUGGGAAUUGGGAGAUUAACUUCUCUCCAAACGCUAAACCGCUUUCCAGUGGGCGAUGAGAAUGGCUGCAAAAUUGAAGAGCUCGGAAGUUUGAUUAAUCUUAAAGGAGAGUUACAGAUUCGGAAUCUGGAAAGGGUUCAUGACAAGGAAGAGGCUGGGAAAGCCAAUUUAUUCAAAAAGUCAAAAAUAUUGAAGUUGCGUUUGGAAUGGGGUUGGAAGUUGCGUUUGGAAUUGGGUUGGAACAGAGAAGGUGAAAGAAAUGAUGAGGAUGUAUUGGAAGGCCUCCAGCCUCACUCAGAUCUGAGGGAGUUAGAAAUUGAUAGAUUCAAUGGAAAAAGAUUUCCAUCAUGGACUCAGAAGAUGGCAGUUCGAGAUGUGUCUGGAGGUUCUUGGGUGGUACUUAACAAGCUAAUGUCGUUAUCACUCGUUGACUGCACAGAAUGUGAAGAGAUCCCAAUGUUGGGGCACUUGCCCAAUCUCAAGUCCCUUGUGUUGUUUGGAUUGAGAAAUUUGAAGUGUAUAAAUUCAUCAUUCUACGGAAUGGUGAACAAGGAGUCAGGCAUUGCUUUCCCAGCUCUCGAGAGGUUAUUGUGAAUGCCUAAGCUGCAAGUGGGCAGAAAUAGAAAUUUCGGAUGGAAUGAAGUGAAGCUAUUUCCUCGCCUCCAAUAUUUGAAUUCUGAUUGCCCGCAGUUGAUUAGUGUUCCAAGUCAUGUGUCGUCAUCAUGCCUUGAAUAUUUGUCAAUUAGGAAGACNGGUGUGGAAUGUCUGCCAGCUGAUUGGUUAUUGAGUAACAGCGAGACUCUCUGGUUUGAUAAGGUGCCCGAAUUUAGAGAAAUAUCAGAUAGGGGGGAGAAGAAGAAUCAGAAGGAAGAAGCUCACAAUCACAUCCCUCCCUAUAUUCCCUCGUCUAACAUUGAAUGCGUUCCUAAGUUGAGUUUGGAGACUGUGGAUGAUGCGCCUGAAGUGUGCCCACUACUUAUGUUACUGAGUAUAUGUGAACAGUUGUGCGAUAUUAAAAUUCUUUUAAUUAAGUUAGCCUAGCUAAUUUUGGAAUGGAAGAGUUACCUGAAUGGUUUGCAAACCUCUCUUCUCUAAAGCAGUUGUCUUUAUGUGACUGCAAAAGGCUAAGGCGUCUACCAUCCAUGGAUGCAAUGCGGCGCCUCACAACAUUAAAAGAACUAGAUAUUAGUGGUUCCCCGGAAUUAGUGAUUAAAAGUGAGGCAGCUGAUUCUGAAUGGCCCAAGGUUUCUCAUAUCCCCUACAUCUACAUUGAUGGCUCCAAAAUACGGUGACGGUGAGUAUCAAUAUCUUUUCUUAGAAACAGUUGUAUGUAUAUUUUAUUUGAAUUUUACUUUACCGGUGAUGAAGACAGUUACUCAUCAAAAUUGGUUACUCCAAAUACAUUACCGGUCAAGUACUAGUGAGUAUCAAUAUCUUUUCUAGAAACAGUUGUAUGCAUGUGUAUUUUACUUGAAAAAAAAUUCUAAUUAUUAGAAAUUGAAGUAGCCUAGUAAAAUCUACUCCCUCAGUCAAGCUUCAAAUGUCCCAUUACUUUUAGGCACGAAUAUUAAGAAAUAUGUAUAAAAUAAAUAAAAUGUGUAUAAAGUAAAUAACGUGGAUUGGUGGAAAUUGUUUAAAUAUUUAUUAAGUAUAGAGAGAGUGUGUAUUGCCAAAAAAAGGUAUGAGACAUUUGGAAUGUGACGCCCAUUAUGAAAAGUGAGACAUUUGGAGCAGGACAAAGGGAGUAUUAUCUUAUUUUAUGGAGUUUCUAAUUCAAUUGCUAUUAGUUUGGGGAUUGAGAUUUAUAGCAUACCACACUUGAUGUCUCACUUUCAAUUUUAUUUAUAUUUUUAUAUAUAUUUUCUCUAAUUUUAACUUUGAAUGCUUUAGUUUAAUUUUGUGAUUAUUAAUUAGGGUUCAUUCCAUCUAAUUAGGAUAUAUAAGUAUUUUUUUAUCAUUUAAUUUCACCUUUAUUAGUUAAUAAUAGGUUGAAAAAAUCAAAAUUAUGGUAUAUAAUUUUAUAAAAAAAUAAUUUUUUGAAAUAAAUAUUUAGAAUAAUUCAUAGUAUUAUAAUUUUAUUUUUAUAAAAAAUAUUAUUAAAAUAAUAGAUAUAAGAAUGGAAUAUAGUGACGUACAUAAAAUUGUAGGACAAUGGAUCCCAUCCCUUUUGGUGCUUAAACAAUACGAGAUUAAAUUGUUUUGAGUUUGUUUACUAGUAGUAUUUACAGCAACUCAUCAUCUUAGCUUCUUUUUUUUCCAUUAAUAUAGGUUAACAAAUUUUAAAUUAUGCUAUAUAAUUUUAUAAAAUUUAAUAUUUUGAAAUAUAUAUUAACAGUAAUUCAUAGCUUUUUUUUUAAUUAAUUCUUUUUUGUAUUGAUACAGAAUAAAGUGAGAAGCAAACAGUUGUGUUUGAGGUCCCUCUAAAGAAUUAGGAGGUGAAGAAGCAAGCGAUCUAGUGAAGAAGGAAUAAGUGAGUGUCCAUUUUCUCCAUGAUGACUUGCUCAACCUCUUUUCAUAAUUUUUUUUUGUAAUUCCCUAUAUAUUCUUUGUUUGAACUUUAGUUGAUAGGAUUAUUAUGUCUAGGGUUGAAGAAAAUGCAUGUUUGGAUACCAAUUUGCUUCACAAUUGAUAUGAUUCUCAAAGACUCAAACUUCAUUGAUCAUUCAUCAUUGUAAGAAAAUGGAGUUUUUUUUAUCGCUUUUUCUUUCUCCUCUCCCAUCAAUUUUUAUUAUUAUUAUACAAAUAUUUGCUAAUAAACUGGAAUUUUGUUGGGGAGAUGUCUAAAAUCAUAUACAAAUAGAAACGAUGAAAAUCUAAAGAGACUUUUUUUCUGGGAAAGAAGGUAAUAUGAAGUUUAGUUUAAUCCCAUAUUUCUUGGCUAAUGUGAAUCCUGUAUAGCUGAUUUGUUGUCUACUUUUCAGGUGGAUUUGAAGGGGCAUUUUGAGUAAUUGUCAAGCUCUUAUUGAGCCAUUUUGAGCUCUGUUAUAGAUUUUCUAAUAGAAUCAAAUAAAUUUCAAAAUGACAUGAGGAUAUAUGAGGAUUUGUAGGACUAAAUGUCAAUUUCUGUUUAUGAUUCUGUUUUUAUGAUUUUUUCUUCAAACUUGAACUAUCUGUUAUUUGUUUUAACUCCAAACAUUAAUCCUUGAUUGCAGUGAGUAUGAAUCUAAAGCCAUGGCAGAGAUAGGGGAGCUUUUGAAGUUCAUGGUGGCGAGGCAGCCUCAACUAGAGGCGCCAACCAGCUUGCUCAUGGGGACGAACGACGACAGUGUAGUUAUUGAUUGUGAAGAGAAGGAUGAUGACAAAAAAAUUCAGACAACAAUGUUGAAGAUGAAGAUAAUGAAACAGAGGAUUCAACAGCUGUGGAAGUUGAACCCAAUCCCACCAACAAGGGUAAAGGAAAAAAGGCACACCAAUGAAAGAAUGUUGAGCAUAUCAUAUACUAACAUUAAAACAAAGUUUCAAUUUGCAUCACCAUUAGAAUCUUACAAAUUCUAAUUGGCAGGACAGGAUAUUUGGUUUUACUUUAUCAAUUGCGUGUUUUUCCUUGUUUUUAUAAACAGGCGAAAGUAGUAAUAAGACUUUCAAUUUGCGUAGACGAAGGUAGUAAUAAAACUACAAUUUGAAUUUUGUAGGUAGAACACUUUUUGUUUCCCCCUUUUUUCUAGUGUGUUUCUAGUCCUAUUUUGAGCUAUUAAUACAGCCUUGAGAAUACUUUAAAGGGACAUUUGAUUUAGUGGAUGAGAUAGAUAAGAAUGAUAAGAGUAGAGGAUGUUUUGUAGAGGAGGUUUAAAUAAUUCAUUCAAUUUUGAGGUGAUAAAUUCAAAUAAAUUAUUAAAGUUCAUCACAAAUCGAAUCAUACAAAUCAAACACUCGAUUAAAUUGAAGUAGCAAUUGCACCCCGUGAUCUUUAAUUUGAUAUGCAUAUUAAAUCAAAUAUCAAAUAUUUUGAAUCAAAUAUAUGAAAUUAAAGCUCUUAUCGUGAUCUUUAAUUUGAGUAUGCAAAAAUUAUGCAAGAUGAUGAAUCUCUAUAGUUUCUACUUCAAAUUAACUCAUGAGCUAUAGUUGUAGUAGGAAAGAUAUAUAAUAUGAGAAUCCGGCCCAACCCAUUUUUAAAAUAAAUGGAUUUGAAGAUCCAUCAUUUAAAACUCAUGAGAUAUUUAUCAUUCAUAUGAAAACAUAAAAUCACAUUCAUAUAAUACCAUUGAAAUUAUGCAAAGCAUAAUGUAUUAAUGCAUGGAUUGAUCACUUGGACCUUACUCUAUAUCAAUUUAACUUGCUCAAUCCAUUUCUGGCCCAACUCUAAAUAUAUAUUUUUAAUAGUUGAGAUGGAUUGAUAACUUUCAAGCCAGGACUCCAAUAUUCUCAUUUUAUUCUAAUUCAGUUAAAAAUUAAAAUUUGAGUAUACUUUGUAUAUUUACAGACCUACUCCAAAUUAAAAAGGAGUAUAGCUUUCAUCACGGUCCAAAAUAGGAGUAUAAAUGUAAAAAAUGAAAGUUAUAGUCUUCAUUUUCAAAUUCUGUAACAUGUAGACCUUAUUUUCAAAUUUCGUAAUAUAUAGUCAUCUUUUUGAAAAUAUUGAAAGUUAUAGUCCUGUUUUUACCAUUAGGUCUUGUAUAUUUACAGACCUACUCCAAAUUUAAAAGGAACAAUGUGAUAUGAUAUACUUUAUUUAUAAGAAAGUAAUAAAAUUCAUUAUAAAUAUCAAUAGCGUGAAUUUCACGCGCGUGCCUAAUUUUUUUUAAAAAAAUUCGAAUAAAAGAUCAUCAAAAUCACAUUUCAAGCCCAAUAGCUCUCUAUAUGUCUUCAAGUCGGACAAAUGACAAUUCAUAGUGGUCCUAUGUUUUUGGGAAAUGUCUUUUUCAAUUUAGUACAAUUAAUUUGUUUGAUCGUUUUGUCAAUUUAAUAGUCAGUUAUUUAUAACAAUUUACUUAAUAUAAUGUUUAAUUUUAACUUUAAUGAAAUGUUAAAUAUUAAAAAAGAAAAGUAAAAAUGAGAUUAAAUGGAAAUGAGGAUUAUAAUGCCUAUUAUAGCGUCAAUGCACUGGAGAAAGGGAGACGCCAAGGUGGAGACCACCUUAUACCGCCUACCACUCGAGAUGCUCUUAGUUAGAAUUAAGUAAAAUGGAGUUUCUUCUUUUUCAUCUCCAAUAAUCAACUCUACAUUUCACUCAACAGAAUAUUCCAUUUUUAUGCUUUCUGUCAUUAAAUAAUUUUGUCAUUUAAUUAUUAUAGUAUCACGUAUAUUUAUAAAUAAUUAUAUUUAUGCUCAAGCAUAUUUAAUUAUAAUCUAAUUUAAAUAUUUUUGAUAAAAUAGUUAAUAAAGCAUAAUAUUUAAAUAUUGCAUGACGAUUAAUUUAUUUUAACAACAUACUAAAAUAAAUAAUGACAGUUAUAUUCAGAAACAAAAUAUAAAACAUUACAAUAAAUCAUAAAAUAGAGGGAAGAAAUAAGAGAGAAAAAAUAAAGCCAAGUAAACGGAUGAACAGUAUCCACUACAUGUGCUGAGUUUUGUUCACACUGCUCCAAAUAUUAGUUGUAGCAAAGGCACCGUUGGAGAAGGGUUUCACUGCAUUCAAACAUAAAAAAUGAUAAAUUUAUACUUUAUUAUGUUAUUAUUUUAUUUAGAGGGAUAAAAAACGAAUACAUCUUGAAGUAUUAAUUAUGUGAACCGGGAAAAAGAAGAAUGUUCAAUUUUCUUGUCUUUUAAUUGGAAAUAUUAAAUUGCAUUAUAAAGAGGCAAUGCAUAGAAAUUUCUAUGUAACCGAUUUAUAAAGGUAUCAUAUUUGUAUAUGUUUACCACAUAGUGUCGGCAAAGAUUGAAUUAUAAAAAAAUGAAAAAAGAAAAACAUAUCUUGAAUGAAUUAAAGGAUGUAAACUCUUGAUCUUGCAUCACUCAUCCAAUUCUGCUCCUUAAUCCUCUUAAUAACAUUCAUGAAAUAUAAAAAAUGAAAAAAGAAUUAUCUCUAUUAAUAACAUUAAUGAACUCUUAUUGCCUUAACACAAAUUCUUGUGUGCACCAUGGAGCACGUGCUCCGGUGCACACAAGAAUGCCUCUUGGCUUAAAGCCUCUUACGUUGAAACAUUUCAUUAAUUAUGCCAGCUAAGAUGAAUCAGCUAUCACUUUUGAACUAUUUGAGUUUUCAUCGUCAGAGUUGCUUGCCUAUAAUUAUUGAGUUUUCGUUUUCGGAGUGGUUGAGAAAUAAUGAGGGAGAAAUAAAGAUAGAUAUAUAGGCUGUCUUUUAAUUUUAUUUUAUUUUCACACCUUGAAGUAGUAUUAUGUAAAACGUGAAAAGGAAGAAUGUACAAUUUUCUUGUCUUUAAUUGGAAAAAAACGCAUUAUAUAGAGUUAAUGUAUAUAAAUUUCUAUGUAACCAAUUUAUAAAGAUGCCAUAUUGAUUUAUAUAAGUAUUUUAAUACGUUUACCACAUUGUUAAAAUAUUAACUAAAUACUAGUAUAUUCAACAAUUUUUUUACUCCAUCCGUUCUCAUAAAAUGUAUUCAAUUUGUUGUUUUUGUUCGUCUUCAUAAAAUCAAUUUAAUUUAUUUUUGAUGAGUUUUUCACUGACAAUAAAGUGAGAUCGAUCCUAUGAAACUAUUAUUUUAUUCACAACAUAUUUAAUGUAUUUUAUUAAAAUUUGUACCAUUUAUAAAUAAUUACUCCAUGCGUCCGUCAAAAAUAGGAGUCAGGGGAUGUUUUAGGACAUUAACUUAAAUUGAUUUGAAAAUUAGGACAAUAACUUUCGGAUUUGUAAAAAUAGGACACUAAUUAUUUUUUUGAGUAAAAUAGGACACUAAUUAAUAAGCGUCGUAAAAAUAGGACAUUUCUCAGCCGAUAAUUGGCUAAAAAAUGUCCUGCGGAUGCAACACUUAUUAAUUAGUGUCCUGUUUUACUCUAAAAAAAAAUUAGUGUUCUAUUUUUACAAGUUCGAAAGUUAUUGUCCUAAUUUCCAAAUCAAUCUAAGUUACUGUCCUAAAAAACCCUCAAACUCUCAAAAAUAGGGUACAAUUACUAUAUCGGACGUCCGCAAAGAGUGUUUCACUUUCCUUUUAAAGAAAUGGUCUCACCAUCCACUUUAAUCUUACUUUAAUCUUUUAACCUUACAAAUUUACAAAAAAAAAAAUACACCCUAAAUUCAAUCUCAACCACAUAUCUAAUAAAGUGAUGGGACUAUUUCUCUACUACAUCAAAAUCAUCAUCAAUUUUAUUAAAUCUUUUGCCCAACUAAAGUGCCCCAUUUUUUAGGGACGUAUGGAGUAUUUUUUAUAAGGACGAGAGGGAUUAAGUCGGAAUUCUACCCACCAAAACAUUCAUCAACUAACUGGUCAAAGUCAAAGUAUCUUGAAUGAAUUAAAGGCUGUAAACUCUUGAGCUUGCAUCACUCAUCCAAUUCUGCUCCUUAAUCCUCUCUCUCUCUCUCACUCAAUUUCGCUCUUUCUCUCUCUCUAAGGAAGCAGCAGCUGCUACCGCCGUCUUUAAGGUGAAGAUGAAUUUCAAUUCUGCUUGUUGAUUGUGUGUAGUCAAAUUUGAGAUUUUUUUUCUUCUUUUUUUUGGGUGUUUCCUUUUGUACUCAUUAUCAUGUUUGGCUAUUCUCUUAUGAGAUUUGAUACUUUGAGUUUUGCUCAUAUAUUUUGAUGAUAGAGUUUUCUUAAUUCUUACAAUAACAAAUUUUUAUUUGAAUUGCGCUCUAUGUUAUAUACUCAUUAUGUCCACGAAAAUCAUAGUGUUGUUUGGGAGCAAUGGGUUUAAUAAAAUUGUCACUGUGUAUAAAGUGGAGGAAAGAGUCCAUUAUUAUUAUUAUUAUUAUUAUUAUUAUUAUUAUUAUUAUUAUUAUUAUUAUUAUUAUUAUUUUGAGGAAAUAUUGUUCCAUUAAAAUUGAGUUGUGAAAGAGAUACUACUAUAUUUGAUGGGUUAAGUAAUUGUCUUUUUUUAUAAAUACUAACAGAGAUGACGUGUAUUGAAGAUAAAUUAUUUUAAUAAAUAAUUUUUUAUGAGUAUAAUCAUUUCAUUUUAUAGUACUUCAUCUGUCCUCCCAUAUUUAUGCACCUUUUUUUAUACAUCUUCGAAAUUUACGCACCAUAUUUUUUGACACUAUCUAGUUCACACAUAAUUUUCAUUUACACCAUCUUUCACAAUUUACUUAACAAUAUCCUUCAUGUUCGACUUUUAUUUAAUAUCACUUUUGGCAUAGAUUUUCAAGCUAUAAAUAUUUGCUGGUGAGGAUCAGUAAUUUGCGUUUAGUGUUUACAUUUUCAUAUCUUGGUAUAUGGAUCCAGCCAUGCAUUAAUAUUCUCCACACCUUUUAAGUCAAAAUGAUACUUUGUAAACAUAAAUACUCCCUCCGUCCCAUAAGCUUAGGCUUGUUUUCCUUUUUUGAAUGUCCCAUUUAUAUAGGCUUGUUUCCAUAAAAAGUAAUAUUUUUUUACUCAUUCACUAUUAUAUCUCCAUUUAAUUCUUUAAUUUACUCCCACUUUAAUACAUCAUUAAAUAAUAAAUAUGGGCAUACUAGGAAAUUUACUCAUAUAUUUUCAUUUUCAAUAAGUUUUUUUAAUCUUUGUGAAAAUCUCAAUCAGCCUAAGCUUAUGGGACGGAGGGUGUAUAUAACUACUAAAGUUAUAAAUUUAAUGAGUACAAGUAUAGUUCGGUUAACAGUCACUUUUUAUAUAAAAAAUAAAGGUUAUAAGUGAUUUGUGUCUCUAAAUUUUGUUUUCUCUUAAAAAUUCUUUAAAUAUUUAGCGUUUUUCCUAAAAUAUUUUGCUAUAUAAAAUUUGAUGAUGAAAAGAUGAUUCAUUUCAUCAGAGUCUAACAUGAAUUGUUUUUUGGACUGUUUUUUCAACCUAAACAUCAAAAUGAUAUCGUUUUGAUACAUAAAAAAAAAAUCUCUUUCAUUUAUCUCUAUUUUUAGAAUUUCAUCAAUGUCAACUUCUAAAUAUGUAAUUAUCUUCCUCCCAAUUCUCGGCUUAUUUGGAGAGGAGGAUUUUGUGGUGAUUAACUAUGACCAAAGAUAGAGAGAUUGUUUUUUAUUUUAUUUUUCCACACGUUGAAGUGUUAUGUGAAAACGGGAAAUUUUCUUGCCGUAUAGAAAUUUCGAUGUAUCCAAUUUAUAAAGGUGUCAUAUUUAUAUAUUUUAAUACGUUUACCAAAUUGUUAAAAUGUUAACUAAAUACUCCCUCCGUCCCACUCCAAUAGGCUCAUUUUCCUUUUUGAGAUGUCCCACUCCAAUAGGCUCAUUUUCCUUUUUGGGUAAAAAAGUUGUAUUUAAUUGGUGUGGACCACACCACUUUACUACCAUUUUCCUACUAAAAAGUAAGUUUUCUUAAUCUUCGUGCCCAAAUGAAGUGAGCCUAUUGGAGUGGGAUGAAGGGAGUACUAUAUUUACAAUUUUUUAUAUUAAUACUACCCACCAAAUCAUUCGCGAGUUAAGUAGUCAAAGUCAAAGUCAAAGUAUUAAAAAAAGUGUCGGCAAAGAUUGAAAUAUAAAAAAUGAAAAAAGAAAUCCAUAUCUAGAAUGGAAGGCUGUAAACUCUUCAGCUUGCACCACUCAUCCAUUUCUAUUGCUUAGCUCUCUCUCUCUCUCUCUAAGUUAUCAGCACAAAAAAUGGAAGCAGGAGCUGCUGCUGCCGUUGAAGUUCUAGUUCAAAACCUCAUCGAUCUCUGCAAGAAAGAGAUCUCUCAGAUCCGAGAUCUCAAAAAAGAUGCCGCAAAGCUAGCUGCGAGUCUCAAAACCAUCCAGAAAUUCUUGAACGAUGCCGAGACGCGUGACAUCACCGGCGAAGCUGUCAAGGGUUGGCUGAAGAAGCUUGAAGACGUGGCUUUCGAUGCUGACAAUGUUUUGGAUGAAAUCAACUAUCAUAUUCUCUCCAAACAAUUCAAGCCCACUGAGCCUGAGGAGGAAAAGGUACCAUCAUGCUUCUCACGCCUCUCAUGCUGCAAGAAUCUUUCACGUUCCCGAAAUAUGGCACUUAAAAUCAAAGAAAUCAAUGAGAAUUUGGAGUCCAUUAACAAAGAGGCCACCGAUCUUGGCCUUGUAGGGAGGCUUGCCGAUGAGCCUGCUUUGGAUAUUGCUACUUUGGAAACUAAUUCAUUCACUCAUGAUCCAAUUUUUAUUGGAAGAGAUGAUGUUGUGUCGGAAACAGUUGAUAUGCUUACAAAUAGCAUCACAACUGAUGAAAAAUCAGUUUCCAUACUUGCCAUUGUCGGGAUGGGGGGAUUGGGGAAGACGACAUUGACGAGAAAAGUCUUCAAUCGUCUAAAGAAUGAGACUCGGUUUGGAUCACAUAUUUGGGUUCAUGUUUCCUCAAAUUUUGAUGCAUUAACUCUUUUCAAAAAAAUUCUCAAAGAGUUGACUCGUGAUCAAGUCGAAGGUGAGAGUCAGCAAGGAAUUCUUUCAAAGCUUGAAGAAGCUUUGAAAGAUAAAACUUAUCUUCUUAUUCUCGAUGAUGUAUGGAAUGAAGAUCUUUCCGAAUGGGAUGAUUUUAUCAAUUCCUUGUUGGGAGUUAGUUGUGUAAAGGGAAAUGCCGUUGUUGUUACCACCAGAAAAAUGGAGGUGGCUUCAAUUGUGAAUCCACUUCAUACACAUGAGUUGAAAGGCUUAUCAGCGGAAGAUUGUUGGUCGAUAAUCAAAGUUAAAACCUUUGGAGAAGGAAACGUUCCGUCAGACUUUGAGGCUAUUGGGAAAAACAUUGCAAGAAGAUGUCAAGGUUUGCCAUUAGCUGCCAACGUAGCUGGGGGAGUGCUGCGCAAUAAACCUGAGGAAAAAUGGCGUUCAAUCGAGGAGAAAUGGCUUUCACCCGAUGAAGGAGGAGAUAAUAUCACAAAAAUAUUGAGAUUGAGCUUUGAUAAUUUAUCUCUGCCAUCACUUAAGAAGUGCUUUGCAUACUGUGCAAUGUUUCCUAAAGGCUCCCAAAUCAUGAAACAAGAAUUGAUUGAGAUGUGGAUGGCAGAAGGUUUUCUUCAAGCUGAUGAAAGGGAUGACAUGGAGUCCGUGGGCGAAAAAUUUAUCAACGUUCUUCUGCACAACUCUUUACUGCAAGUUUCAGAAAGAGAUGAUGACGGAAAUGUAGAAAGUUGUGGCAUGCAUGAUCUUGUGCACGAUCUCGCUUGUUCUGUUUCAAGUUCCUCUAACUGUGGUAACAGUCGAGAUCGAUACAUGACUCACAAUUGUGGAGACAAAUCAAGUCCUAUCCCAAAAGAAAUGGCAAAAUCUUUGCGUACAUUAUUAAUUUCAAUCUAUGGUGAUAGUUCUGAUAUCAACUUCUCAGACUUGGAAAGUCUUCAUGUUUUACGUCUUCAAGGUCAUGGAGUUAAGGAGCUGCCAAGUUCGAUUCAAAAGUUGAUACAUUUGAGAGAUUUUGACAUUUCAAAGACAGAAAUUGAAGUUUUUCCGGAUUGGAUUGGUGAAUUCUUUCACUUGCAGACGUUGAGAGUAGACUCAUAUAGGUUGAGAAUUGGGAGAAAACUGCCAAGCACGAUUAAGUACUUGAUUAACUUGAGGCAUCUUUAUAUUGACUCGAGGGUAGAGUUGCCUAUGGGAAUUGGGAGUUUAACUUCUCUCCAAACGCUAAAGUACUUUCCAGUGGGUGACGAGAAUGGCUGCAAAAUUGAAGAGCUCGGAAAUUUGAAUAAUCUUAAAGGAGAGUUACUGAUUCUGCAUCUGGAAAGGGUUCAUGACAAGGAAGAGGCUGGGAAAGCCAAUUUAUUCAAAAAGUCAAAAAUAUUGAACUUGUGUUUGAACUGGGAAACAUAUGGCAGAAGAGAAGGUGAAAUAAAUGAUGAGGAUGUAUUGGAAGGCCUUCAACCUCACUCACAUCUGAGGGAGUUAGAGAUCCGGGGAUUCAAUGGAAAAAGAUUUCCAUCAUGGACUCAGAAGAUGGCAGUUCGAGAUGUGCCUGGAGGCUCUUGGGUGGUGCUUAACAAGUUAACGUCGUUAACACUCUGGGACUGCAGAGAAUGUGAAGAGAUCCCAAUGUUGUGGCACUUGCCCAAUCUCAAGUCUCUUAAGUUGGAUGGAUUAAAAUUUGAAGUGUAUAAAUUCUUCAUUCUACGGACCGGUGAACAAGGACACACGCGUUGCUUUUCCAUCUCUUGAAAGGCUCAUCUUGUCUCGAAUGCCUAAGCUGGCAGAGUGGGCAGAAAUAGAAAUUUCGGAUGGAAGUGAAGUGAAGCUAUUUCCUCGCCUCCAACAUUUGAAAUUAAGCAUUGCAGCAAUUGAAGUGUUCCAAGUUUGGGGCAGUUGCCCAAUCUCAAGUCCCUUAGUUGGGAUUGAGCAAUUUGGAGUGUAUAAAUUCUUCAUUCUACGGAAUGGUGAACAACGACACACGCAUUGUUUUUCCAGCUCUCGAAAAGCUCAGAUUGGAACACAUGCCUAAGCUGGCAGAGUGGGCAGAAAUAGAAGUUUCGGGUGGAAGUGAAGUGAAGCUAUUUCCUCGCCUCCAACAUUUGGAAAUUGACGAUUGCGAGCAAUUGAUGAGUGUUCCAAGUCAUGUCUCGUCAUGCCUUCAACAUUUGAAAAUUGAUAGAAUUGGUGUGGAAUGUCUCCCAGCUGAUUGGUUAUUCAGUAACAACCAGACUCUCUCUUAAUUGUAUAUAAGGCAGUGCCCCAAUUUGAGAGAAUUAGGGGAUAGAGAUAGCGGCGGAGAACAAUCACAAGGAAGCUUCACAUCCCUUCGCGAAAUCUGGAUUAGUGGAUGCAAAGCAUUGGAGUAUUUGCCAUGUGAAUUUCUAGGAUUCUCUCUUGAGGAGCUGUCACUGAAGGAUCUAAGCAGCCUGAAGAAUCUACCAAGGGUAAUUGACUGCCUCCCAAAUUUGCCUCGUCUGACACAUUUGACAGUCGAAGGUGUUCCUAAUUUUAUGACCACUUGUCGUCUUGAGAUUUCGCCUUUUCCCAGCUUGAGAGAGAUGAGUAUCGAUGCUAGUACGGGGGAUUCAAGCUCGACGGAGACUGUGGAUGCCAUAUUGCAAGGAUGCAGCUGCCACUCACUCAAUGAGUUAGAUUUGAAGGGGAUGGAAAGUUGGGAAUGGCUGCCGGAAUCAAUUCAACAUCUUACAUCUCUUUCUAAGUUAUGCUUAGAGGAUUUUGGAAUGGAAGAGUUGCCUGAAUGGUUAGGGAAUCUCUCAUCUCUACAGUCAUUGAAUUUAGAUAACUGCAAAAGGCUAAGGUGUUUACCAUCUAUGGAUGCAAUGCGGCGCCUCACCACAUUAAAAGUAUUAGUUAUUAAGCGUUGCCCAGAAUUAGUGAUUCAAAGUGAGGCAGCUGAUUCUGAAUGGCCCAAGGUUUCCCAUAUCCCACGCAUCCAAAUUGAUGGCUCAUACAUUAUCUGUGACGGUAAGUAUCAAUAUCUUCUUUUUAUUUGAAAUACAGUUGCAUGCAUAUUUAUUUGAAAAAAAAAAUCCAAUGAUCCAGAAAUUAAGGUAUCCUAGUAAAAUCUACUCCCUCCGUCCACUAAUUGUUGGCCUACUUGCCUUUUUGGUCCGUUCAUCAAUUUAUGUCCUAUCUAUUUUGGGUAAGUUUAUAUUCAUAUUUUAAUAAAUUGUGGCCUAAUUGCAUUGACUUUAAUAANGUGUGGGUUUCUUUCUCCACUCAGCU
rnacentral:lncRNA from 1 species